rnacentral:rRNA from 1 species
UACGUAGGGUGCAAGCGUUGUCCGGAAUUAUUGGGCGUAAAGAGCUCGUAGGCGGCUUGUUGCGUCGACUGUGAAAACCCGCGGCUCAACCGUGUGGUCUGCAGUCGAUACGGGCAGGCUGGAGUUCGGUAGGGGAGAUCGGAAUUCCUGGUGUAGCGGUGAAAUGCGCAGAUAUCAGGAGGAACACCGGUGGCGAAGGCGGAUCUCUGGGACGGUACUGACGCUGAGACGCGAAAGCGUGGGGAGCGAACAGG